rnacentral:rRNA from 1 species
GACGAACGCUGGCGGCGUGCCUAAUACAUGCAAGUAGAACGCUGAAGAGAGGAGCUUGCUCUUCUUGGAUGAGUUGCGAACGGGUGAGUAACGCGUAGGUAACCUGCCUUGAAGCGGGGGAUAACUAUUGGAAACGAUAGCUAAUACCGCAUAACAAUGGAUGACACAUGUCAUUUAUUUGAAAGGGGCAAUUGCUCCACUACAAGAUGGACCUGCGUUGUAUUAGCUAGUAGGUGAGGUAAUGGCUCACCUAGGCGACGAUACAUAGCCGACCUGAGAGGGUGAUCGGCCACACUGGGACUGAGACACGGCCCAGACUCGUACGGGAGGCAGCAGUAGGGAAUCUUCGGCAAUGGGGGCAACCCUGACCGAGCAACGCCGCGUGAGUGAAGAAGGUUUUCGGAUCGUAAAGCUCUGUUGUAAGUCAAGAACGGGUGUGAGAGUGGAAAGUUCACACUGUGACGGUAGCUUACCAGAAAGGGACGGCUAACUACGUG